GCUACACACGGAUCAAUCUGCAUGGCUCUGAGAGCGUGUCCACACCAGGACAACUCUAGGUUCCCACCCUCACCAGGCAUCACCACGUAAAGGUGAACUGUGCUUCAUCCAAUGUGAGCUCAGCAAUAGAAAGUUGGGGGACUACCAUUGUGGCAUAUUGUGUAUAUUGUCAGACAUAGUCAUUGCCGGUUAGCUUUCCUUUACUAGUUUUGUCAAAAGGGAGGAUUCUAUCAGAUUGAAGUAUAUCAGGAAAUGCUAUCAGCAAAACUUUAAAAAUACAUAAAUAAACAUAUAAAAUAUUUUUAAAUAUUUUUAAGGUAAGCUGGGGAAGUAGGUAGAAUCAAUAUCCUGAGGGAAAGAGGAUGUAUUCAUUGGGUUCAGUGUGCUACCAUCAUGUCAACUCUGCCAAUGAGCUGAGAAUUAGAAAUGAACCUCUUUCUCCCACUUGCACCUUUUCUUCAGAUCAGGGGCCAAAACAUAGUAGAAGGUUCAAUAGAGGGCAGAUUUGGGAACAAAAAGUCAAGUUAGUCUGGGGCUUCAGGAGGCAAGAGUCCUACUUGAGCCAGAUUAUAAAGGAUAAUGAAGGGUAGUGGUCAAAAAUGGCCACAUAGUAAGAACAAGCCUGGAUGUUUGCUGGGACAAGAGGCACACAAACAAAUAAACAGAUGAAACAAACAAACUGAGACAUGGGUAGAACCAGCUUUAGGGUUAGGGCAGUUCUAGUGGGAAAAAAUGCACAGACAUUCUGCUUUUCAGCAUGCCCAGCUUCACUUUCUUAAGCUUAGUCAUUCAACAAAUAAUAAAUCAAGUCUUGCUCUGUAGUAUUUGCUGAUUUUUGAAGUGUAAAUGCUCAGUGAAAACUUAACAAUUAACUCUCUGGCUCCAGCACACUUUUGGAUUAGGCUUACAGAAGGUAUUUUAGAAAAAGAUUCCUGUACAUUUUUAAUUUGUCAGUUCUCUGGCUUUUGUGUCUUGUUUUUGUUUUUCUCUUACCUAGGAAAACUCCUUUUGAGAAAACAAAUAAUUUGUGUCUCGCCAGAGAAUGAUUUGUUUAUCUCUCUCUCUCUCUUUUUUUUUUUGGUGAGGCAAUUGAAGUUAAGUGACUUGCCCAGGGUCACAAAGCUAGUAAGUGUCAAAUGUCUGAGGCCAUAUUUGAAUUUAGGUCCUCCUGACUCCAAUGCCGGAGCUCUAUCCACUGCUCCUAACUGCCCCAAUUUGUUUAUGUCUCUUCAAAGGUUAGGGGAUCAUGGUGCCCACUCCAAGAAGCAGCCAAAGAUUUUGGAGUGCCUUCCCAACUGCUACCAACUCAGAAACACGGAACCACCAAAACCUAGCAUCCUUCUUCAAUGUCACCUAAUCCACACUUCUCUCAUUUUACAGGCUCAGUUCUUAGCAAUCCUUAAAAAAAAAAAAGCCUUCCAUUUUUGCCUGCAUUUGUUUCCUCCUUUACACUGAAAAACUCCUUGAAAAAGUUUCAUUUCUUUGCCACCUAACACACUCAGUUCCUUAGAAUUUGGCUUCCAUUUCUAUGAUGAUGCAGAAAUUACCCUAAGUCCUAUGAUUUUUUCUUCAAUUCAUUGCUCUUCAAUCAACCAAUCAAUCAAUAAACAUUGUUUAAGCAGCUACUACGUGCUGGGU
rnacentral:lncRNA from 1 species